rnacentral:lncRNA from 1 species
AUGAAGUCCUUCUGCUUUACUGACUCUGCCAAAACCCUUGACUGUGUGGGUCACAAUAAACUGUGGAAAAUUCUGAAAGAGAUGGGAAUACCAGACCACCUGACCUGCCUCUUGAGAAACCUAUAUGCAGGUCAGGAAGCAACAGUUAAAACUGGACAUGGAACAACAGACUGGUUCCAGAUAGGAAAAGGAGUACGUCAAGGCUGUAUAUUGUCACCCUGCUUGUUUAACUUAUAUGCAGAGUCCAUCAUGAGAAACGCUGGACUGGAAGAAGCACAAGCUGGAAUCAGGAUUGCCGGGAGAAAUAUCAAUAACCUUGGAUAUGCAGAUGACACCACCCUUAUGGCAGAAAGUGAAGAGGAACUAAAAAGCUUCUUGAUGAAAGUGAAAGAGGAGAGUGAAAAAGUUGGCUUCAAGCUCAACAUUCAGAAAACGAAGAUCAUGGCAUCCGGUCCCAUCACUUCAUGGGAAAUAGAUGGGGAAACAGUGGAAACAGUGUCAGACUUUAUUUUUCUGGGCUCCAAAAUCACUGCAGAUGGUGACUGCAGCCAUGAAAUUAAAAGACGCUUACUCCUUGGAAGGAAAGUUAUGACCAACCUAGAUAGCAUAUUCAAAAGCAGAGACAUUACUUUGCCGACUAAGGUCCGUCUAGUCAAGACUAUGGUUUUUCCAGUGGUCAUGUAUGGAUGUGAGAGUUGGACUGUGAGGAAGGCUGACUGCCGAAGAACUGAUGCUUUUCAACUGUGGUGUUGGAGAAGACUCUUGAGAGUCCCUUGGACUGCAAGGAGAUCCAGCCAGUCCAUUCUGAAGGAGAUCAGCCCUGGGAUUUCUGUGGAAGGAAUGAUGCUAAAGCUGAAAUUCCAGUACUUUGGCCACCUCAUGCGAAGGGUUGACUCAUUGAAAAAGACUCUGAUGCUGGGAGGGAUUGGGGGCAGGAGGAGAAGGGGACGACAGAGGAUGAGAUGGCUGGAUGGCAUCACUGACUCGAUGGACGUGAGUCUGAGUGAACUCUGGGAGUUGGUGAUGGAUAGGGAGGCCUGGCGUGCUGCGAUUCAUGGGGUCGCAAAGAGUUGGACACGACUGAGUGACUGA